rnacentral:rRNA from 1 species
AGCGAACGCUGGCGGCAGGCCUAACACAUGCAAGUCGAACGGAUCCUUCGGGAUUAGUGGCGGACGGGUGAGUAACACGUGGGAACGUGCCCUUUGGUUCGGAACAACUCAGGGAAACUUGAGCUAAUACCGGAUGUGCCCUUCGGGGGAAAGAUUUAUCGCCAUUGGAGCGGCCCGCGUCUGAUUGGCCAGUUGGUGAGGUAAAGGCUCACCAAGGCGACGAUCAGUAGCUGGUCUGAGAGGAUGAUCAGCCACAUUGGGACUGAGACACGGCCCAAACUCCUACGGGAGGCAGCAGUGGGGAAUCUUGCGCAAUGGGCGAAAGCCUGACGCAGCCAUGCCGCGUGAAUGAUGAAGGUCUUAGGAUUGUAAAAUUCUUUCACCGGGGACGAUAAUGACGGUACCCGGAGAAGAAGCCCCGGCUAACUUCGUGCCAGCCGCCGCGGUAAGAC